CUUGGUGUUUGGUGAGACUCUGCUUUCUGGUCUCUGUGCUGCUGAGGGACGCGGGAGCUCACAGGGCCUCCCGUAAGGACACCGAUCCCACUCUGCGUGCCUCUACUUCUUGACCUCCACAGCUCCUCAUAGCAUCACCUCGGGGGCCAGGAGGGUGGCACGUGCGCGUGGCAUUCAAGCCAUGGCAAGGAGUUCUGGGACUUACUCUACGAUCGUGCUGUUCAGUAAGGCACCUACUAACCAUCUUUCUAAUGGGGCUAUCAGAACAUUGAGACUUAGGUAAGUGGCUCAUAUUAUAUUUCUAUUGAAAAGUGCUGGGCUAGGCCUUGUGGUUUAGAUGUCAUAAAUGUCUUCUGCCAUUCUGUCCCCUUCUUUAUUCGUGGUGUCUUUAUUCAUGUAGUCACAUUUGCUGAUUCAUUUUGCUUAGAGCUUAUGCUUCUAAAAAGACUUUUUC
rnacentral:lncRNA from 1 species